UACGAAGGGGGCUAGCGUUGCUCGGAAUCACUGGGCGUAAAGGGUGCGUAGGCGGGUCUUUAAGUCGAGUGUGAAAGCUCCAGGCUUAACCUGGGAAUUGCGCUCGAUACUGUUGAGCUAGAGUGUGGAAGGGGCUACUGGAAUUCCGUGUGUAGCGGUGAAAUGCGUAGAUAUCUGGAGGAACACCGGUGGCGAAGGCGGCAUCCUGGACCAACAUUGACGCUGAGGAGCGAAAGCUAGGGGAGCAAACGGG
rnacentral:rRNA from 1 species